GGGGGUGCUGGGGUUCGACGGAUAAACAAGACAUGUCGGCGCAGGCAGAGGACGGUGGUUGGCCUCUUAAAACAUCCACCAAAAAAAUAAACGCUGAUUACAAUUACGCAUUAGCUGCUUAAUUUAGCGGUUAACGUUUUAGGUAGCUUUCGCCUGUAGGGCGCUUAAAACGUAGGAAUACAGGCCCUGUGACAAAGGUUUGUCUAAGCCAAUGUUUACAGUGUAGCAAUUUAGACUAUGCUUUCGAGCUCUGUUACUUGAGCAAGAAAGAUGAAAACAAAAAGUAACUAAGCCUGUAGCCUGGCGGCAUGGUGUGUUUAUUCGGACGCGGGUUCAACUCCCGCCACCUCCACCA
rnacentral:tmRNA from 1 species